rnacentral:rRNA from 1 species
GAUGAACGCUGGCGGCGUGCCUAAUACAUGCAAGUCGAACGAAACUUCUUUAUCACCGAGUGCUUGCACUCACCGAUAAAGAGUUGAGUGGCGAACGGGUGAGUAACACGUGGGCAACCUGCCCAAAAGAGGGGGAUAACACUUGGAAACAGGUGCUAAUACCGCAUAACCAUAGUUACCGCAUGGUAACUAUGUAAAAGGUGGCUAUACUACCGCUUUUGGAUGGGCCCGCGGCGCAUUAGCUAGUUGGUAGGGUAAAGGCUUACCAAGGCAAUGAUGCGUAGCCGAAUUGAGAGGUUGAUCGGCCACAUUGGGACUGAGACACGGACCAAACUCCUACGGGAGGCAGCAGUAGGGAAUCUUCCACAAUGGGCGAAAGCAUGAUGGAGCAACGCCGCGUGGGUGAAGAAGGUCUUCGGAUCGUAAAACCCUGUUGUUAGAGAAGAAAGUGCGUGAGAGUAACUGUUCACGUUUCGACGGUAUCUAACCAGAAAGCCACGGCUAACUACGUG